AAGCAUCUAAGCGCUCUCAUUGCCUUUGGCACUGCACUGCCUUUGGUAUUGUUGUCACUGCCUGUAGUAAUGAUCACAGACUUGCACUGCCGCAAUAAUUGCACAAUUUCUUUUUCCGAAAGUCGGCUUGGAACAAGGCGACAGCUACUCCCCUGCACAGAAAGGUCAAUGCAAAAUUAAUGGGCACUGUUGACGUGCGAUUUCUUUUAGCACUGUGGGCAGCAGGACGAUCGAACAUCCGUGUUGAUAGGCGCGUGCGAAGCAACGCCAGUGGCAUCCUUGUUAAACAAGGAUUUUCAGGGAAGAAAAUAAUUGGGCCAACCUUUCUUUUUCGCCAGAAUGGCGUUUGAGAAAAAAUUGUGAGCACUAACGUCGCCGGCUAUUAAUGAUGUAAAUCCUAUUUGUUCAUGGAGCGCCUUAAGGAAUGGCAGUGGUCACUAAAGAAAUAAUCACAAAGCGCCCACAUGCCCGCCAGCUUACCGGCGAUGAACUGAAAAGUUUUCCCCUCACACGUUCGACUGAACUUCGUGCUUCAAGGUCGCUGACAUUUGUGCUCAACUGUGCGGCGCAAUGUAUUUGCUGGCGACUUUCUUGCUUAUUGUCUGUCUCAUUUGCUUCACCGUUCGGGCUUCGGAAUUGAAGAAAAAAAAUGAUAUAAUAAAGGCGAAUUCCGCACGCUAGUAGUAAUGUAUCCGCUGACUUUUCUAGAUUAUCUCGCUUAACGCCGUCCAGUCAUCUUGUUUUUUUUUUUUUUUUUGCGACAGCGUAGACACGACGCGGUUUAUGCUUUGUCAGCUUUUUUUUUUCUUAGCUUAUUUUCCCAAUGCUCUUAAGAAUAUGCACUUUUCCGGCUUAAAGAUUUGUUUUAUGUUGUGAGUUGGCGGCGAGCGCAUAUUGUAUCAUGAAAUGGCGCAGUUUUCCAUUAGCGGCACCGUCUAUAGUCGGGAUGCUAGAGUCACAAAGAUGCAUUAAUUUCUGGAAAAAAGGUUUUCGUGCUCAUUCACUGCAAUUCGGGAAGCUCGGGAAAAGAGCAUAGUUUCACAGGCCAUCAGAACAUGUUUUUCUCGUAUUCUUUAUUUUUAUUUCGGUCAGAGACAUUUCAAGAUACUGAUAACAUGAAUAUACUGGCGUCUUUUAGUGAGAGUACAAGGAUGUCGCUUAGAUGUUCGAAGUAACGCCCUAAUUAUUCGUGUACUUUUGGGCUUUGUUUUCAUUUAUCAUUUAGGUGGUUCAUUUUACACUAUCCAUGCCAACACGUGAUCAGUUUGUUCAAAAUUGAUAAAUGCCGUUGAUUAAGCAGGUACUUGUGAGAAUCUUAGUAUAAAGAGCUACAGAAGCGUAAAACUUUUAUUUUUGUUUUUCGGCCAGCAUGCAGAACUUACUUUCUGCUUUUCUUGUGUUUUGGCAGUGACAGUUGCGGCAAUUGUGCAACGCCUAAACUCUGCGCUUGUACUUUCAGGAACCAUACCAUUGAUUGGGCCGUCGUGGCUCUGGAUUGAUCAAGUUUUCCAGUGCUGAUUUCUCGACGCGGCGGGCUAGCUUGUGUGGACUGAGUACGUGCUGCAAGUUGAUCGACGGUCACAGCUGCGGCUGCGUGGAAUACAGCUGCGAUCUACCUCGAGGGGUAUAUAAGGAAGCUUCAGCAGCGUCUCGGAUCAUUUGGCAGUGGCAGUUGCGACAACUGUGCAACGCCUAAACUCUGCGCUUGUACUUUCAGUUUGCAAGCAAACCAGGGUAGUCACUUGCAAUUACAAGGGAGGAAGAAAGAAAGGAAGGAACGAAGGAAAAGAAGAUACGAAACGCAUAGAGGUCAACAGACUCGUAAGAAAAAUCAUAUCGCGCUGCCCAUAAGAAGAACCCGCUCAACUGCAGUUGAUGUUGUGCAAGCGCUAAUUAUUGCGGUGCGAAAUAAGAUUCUCAUAAGACGGCAAUACAGUGCUUCCUGUUGACGAUGGAACAGUGGACUUCCUGUAAAUACGUUACCUCACUGCAUAACGAAAGCUUUGGUAAAAGAAAUGGAUGUGCUUGGUGAUAAGACGUCCUUGUGAAAGGAUGGCGCUCUUCGCCGUUCACUAAUGAACAGCACAGAAAAAAAAAACCCAAGACAGUACAGGUUUCUGGCUCAUUACAUCAACCGUAUUAAAGCUUCUUUUUUGCCACAAAUACGUUGUGCAUUACUAAUUACUCUAAUUUAGCUACUAAUGUCUACCAUUUGAUUUUGUUUUUCAGAACAUUGGAAGCUUUUUCAACAGUGACGCCCGUCAUGUUCUCAGCGCAGCCAUGCGUGAACUGAACCGACUGA